rnacentral:rRNA from 1 species
CCUACGGGAGGCAGCAGUGAGGAAUAUUGGUCAAUGGACGAGAGUCUGAACCAGCCAAGCAGCGUGAAGGAUGACUGCCCUAUGGGUUGUAAACUUCUUUUAUAUGGGAAUAAAAUGUUCCACGUGUGGGAUAUUGUAUGUACCAUAUGAAUAAGGAUCGGCUAACUCCGUGCCAGCAGCCGCGGUAAUACGGAGGAUCCGAUCGUUAUCCAGAUUUAUUGGGGUUAAAGGGAGCGUAGGUGGAUUGUUAAGUCAGUUGUGAAAGUUUGCGGCUCAACCUUAACAUUGCAGUUGAUACUGGGAGUCUAGAGUACAGUAGGGGGGGGCGGAAUUCGAGGUGUAGCGGUGAAAUGCGUAGAGAUCGCGAAGAACUCCGAGUGCGAAGGCAGCUCACUGGACAGGAACUGACACUGAGGCGCGAAAGUGUGGGUAUCAAACAGGAUUAGAUACCCUAGUAGUC